rnacentral:tRNA from 1 species
GGUUAUAUAUUUUAAAAAAUUAAAAUAUUAAAUUGCAGAUUUAAAGAUACAAAAAUUGUUAUAACUU